rnacentral:lncRNA from 1 species
ACUAGGUUAUGUGGUCAGUGCUAAAUGCCACUGAAUCCUUCCAGGCUUCCCAUUCCUUCCACAUACACAGUGCUCAUCAUUAGACCACCUUAGGUUUUUAUUCUCACCUUCAUGAUUGUGCCACCAUGACCUGGAUCUCUUCCUGGUCAUAUGUCUGGGGACAUGGCUCUCCACAUGUAGCAGUCCCUUGAUUCUGAGUGACAAGCAGGAAGAAGAAGCUUCCUCCUGAAGUGUUGCUAGAGGGAGAUGCAGGCUGUCUCUUUAGCUUUGUUUCUGAAAGGAGCAAGCUUACCCCUGCAUCUGCAUCUGCAGUUUUGUGAUCAUUUCACUGCCAAAGGGAUAAGAGCCCAUGUUAUCCUCAAAACCAAACUGAAGCCUGGAUUAGCCAGCUGAAUUCUGUUGUGUGUCUUCUCAUCCAUCAUUGCCUGGAGUGGAGGGAAAUCACGAAAUCACUCCCAAAUGCAGACUCUUAGGGUGAGGCCAGCCAGCCUUUCAGUGAAGCUGCCUGAAAAUCGUACUGAGAAAAACAGUGCAGAAAAGCUCCUGAUGCCAAAAGAGAAAAUUCCAUCUCUGUGGACCACUUCAGAGCAAUCUGGUAAAAGAGGCAUUACAGGUGAGGAAAUGGAGCCUCGAAGAGGUGAAUCCAUUUCCCCAAGGCCAUAUCUAGUAAAACCAUACUGUCGGGAAGUUUGUGCAAGUAUGAUUAUCUGCAUUUUUAAAGGUGAAGAAGUUAAAGGUGAAGAGAGUUUAAAUGACC